GUUCUCUGUGGGCUCUGGAGAAGAAGGCACGCAGCAGCCAGGAGCCUCGACAUAGCUUGGCAUUGAUUGGCCAUUGAGUUAAAACAAUUCACAUGAAACCAAUGAAGCAAUGUCCAACCACAUGGCAAAGCAGCAAAACACACAGGAAGCAAAUCAGCAAAUGGGAAGUUUCAGGAGAUAAUUACAGAACAAAUAAUGAGCCUUGUCAGCAUUAGCCAACCCUAAGAGAAAAGCACAAAAUGGGAGCUAAGAUGGAUGUAGAUUGGAUUUUGGAGACUCUUCCGUCUGAAAUAGCAUUUCACCGUUUUCCAGACUGGUGUCUUAGGGUUUGUGGAAGCAAAAGCAUUCAAGCACUCUAAUAAAGCUGGAUCAGCAGCUCAGCUGACAGAUGUUGAGUUGCUGGACCCAUCAGCAGGGCCACAGCAGGGCCAUGCAGCCAGUCACUGGGAUCACUUUUGACAAAAAUGUCACCCUGGUUCUGUUUUGUACAGGACUAUGUUUAACUGUUCAUUUUAAUGUCUGGGAUGACUGAUGAAUGCUGAUGGAGAAAAGAAAAGAGAAAUUUGCAGUCACCGACUCUCCAGAACAUUUGCUACACACCCAGUCUCUAUUCUCAUUUAAUUAUCACAACAAUUUAUCAUAAAAGUUAUUAAUUGAAAAUGUUAAUCCUUACUGAGAAGACUUCUCAAUCUUUGAAGCUCAGUGGUUUUAUUUUGAGACUGUGCUGGAGUUUUCCUGUCCUCUUUGCUCUGCAUCUUCAUUUUUUAAAGCUCUGAAGUGACCUAAAAUUGCCUUUCCUUUUUGUGUUGUCACUUGAAUGAAGAACUGAGGGAGCUGCUCUUGAAGUGUACAUGCCAGUGUGUUUUCCUUCUUCAUAUUUACCAUAGAUGUGCCUUCCUCAGCUUCUGAAAUUAGCAGCUCAGCCCAACAUUUCUUCCUGAUAGGCCACAGCACCCAGAUCUUUGGUGCUGCUAGAAGUCCUACUCUUAGCAGGAAUGAUUUGCUUGGUUAAGUGCUUAGAUUCCAUGGAGACUGAUUCCUGGCUGGAAUACAGAGCCAAAAUGAUGCUGCAAAGAGCCCUGCAGGACUGUUUAUUCCCUUUUCAGACAGAAUUGAUAAUUACUGCUCCUGGUGCUAUAGCACAUCACUCCUUUUAAUUUGCCCAAUAAACCACACAUUGCCUUUAAUUUCUUUUUCCAUUCUUUUUGCUAAUGAAGGAACAAAUAUAUUUUCUUUAGGUCACUCUGGUAUUAAUUAAUGGCAUUUUGUCUGGUCUGUGCACAACCUAAAAGCAGUUGAACUGGUGAUACACAGCAGAGAUCAGGCUCAGAUAUUUUAUGCAGUUUCUGAUAGAAUUUUGGGGGUGGACAAACUCCAUCAGGAGGAGAUUAUUGGUAUGAAAAUCCAGAGAGGCUGCAGUGUCCUGCAUAACAGCCACAGCAGCUCCUUGCAAAGGCAAUAGGAUGUAGCUGAUGGCAAAUAGAUCCCUCAAUCUAUGAAUUUUAAAAUGCAAUAUGAAGCAUAAAACAAUAUAUAUCCAG